AGGAGGUGGAGGAGGAGGAGGAGGACGAGGACGACGAGGACGGAGGGGAGAGGCCUGCUCUGCCUGCCGAAGCCCCGGGCUCUCCUACUCCCUCCGCCGCCGAGGCUCGGGGUUUUUUCCGCGGGGGCGGGGAGGCUCCGCCGGUGUCCGAGUCGGAGGAGGAGGAAGCGGAGGCCAGAGUUUCCUCGCCGAGAGAGGCCGUGCUGCUGCCUAAUGGAGUCCAGGCGCUCGCGUCACAGGAAAUGCCUAUACUGCCCUCCUCACUCACUUCCGGUGGCAGAUCAAGUCUUCAGCAGACAUCAUGUGACCUUGAGGAUGGAUGUCACAUGCUGGAGGAAACAGAAGGCCGAAACCCUGAUGACUUCACAGAGCUGCCAAAACAGUUCCUGACUGUUUAUUCCGGGUCUUUAACAAAGUGAUGAAAA
rnacentral:lncRNA from 1 species